rnacentral:rRNA from 1 species
UACGAAGGGGGCUAGCGUUGCUCGGAAUUACUGGGCGUAAAGCGCACGUAGGCGGUUUCUUAAGUCGGGGGUGAAAUCCUGGAGCUCAACUCCAGAACUGCCUUCGAUACUGAGAGACUUGAGUCCGGGAGAGGUGAGUGGAACUGCGAGUGUAGAGGUGAAAUUCGUAGAUAUUCGCAAGAACACCAGUGGCGAAGGCGGCUACCUGGCCUAAUACUGACACUGAGGCACGAAAGCGUGGGGAGCAAACAGG